AUUGAACGCUGGCGGUAUGCCUUACACAUGCAAGUCGAACGGUAACAGGUCUUUCGGGAUGCUGACGAGUGGCGAACGGGUGAGUAAUACAUCGGAACGUGCCCAGUAAUGGGGGAUAGCUCGGCGAAAGCCGGAUUAAUACCGCAUACGCCCUGAGGGGGAAAGUGGGGGACCGCAAGGCCUCACGUUAUUGGAGCGGCCGAUGGCUGAUUAGCUAGUUGGUAGGGUAAAGGCCUACCAAGGCGACGAUCAGUAGCUGGUCUGAGAGGACGAUCAGCCACACUGGGACUGAGACACGGCCCAGACUCCUACGGGAGGCAGCAGUGGGGAAUUUUGGACAAUGGGGGAAACCCUGAUCCAGCAAUGCCGCGUGUGCGAAGAAGGCCUUCGGGUUGUAAAGCACUUUUGUCAGGGAAGAAAUCCUUUGGGCUAAUACCCUAGGGGGAUGACGGUACCUGAAGAAUAAGCACCGGCUAACUACGUGCCAGCAGCCGCCGCGGUAA
rnacentral:rRNA from 1 species